rnacentral:rRNA from 1 species
AACGAACGCUGGCGGCAGGCUUAACACAUGCAAGUCGAACGCCCCGCAAGGGGAGUGGCAGACGGGUGAGUAACGCGUGGGAAUCUACCUAGUUCUACGGAACAACAGUUGGAAACGACUGCUAAUACCGUAUACGCCCUACGGGGGAAAGAUUUAUCGGAAUUAGAUGAGCCCGCGUAAGAUUAGCCAGUUGGUGAGGU